rfam:Beauveria bassiana ARSEF 2860 unplaced genomic scaffold BBA_S00020, whole genome shotgun sequence.
GGCUGAUUAGUGUAGUGGCUAUCACGUAUCGUUAACACCGAUAAAGUCGUAGGUUCGAAUCCUCCAUCGGUCA